UCCUCAGCGCACAGGAGGAGGAGCUGGCCCACCCACGGUUCCCAUAAGCACUUGGUUUCUCUUUACUGCUUCUAGAGGAUGCAUCUGGGAGGCACCAAGCCCUCAGAGAACCAGGAGGCUGGAUUCUCUUAACAGCGGAUGGAGGGUAGUAGUUGACGGGCUCACAGACCCACGGCGCCAACUGAGCCAUCUUAUCUUCUCCACGGAAGCAGGAGGAGGGAGCCCUGAGUCUUCAGGGACUCCUGUACUUUGCAGAUCCCACUGACUUCAUUGGGGUGACAGCCAUCUUGGUUCAUCAGAGUUCAUGACCCAGCUGCUUCUGAUGGAAAGGGAAAGACUAAUCCACUGAGUCUAAAGUGCCUUUCCUCGUGCUUGUCCUACUGAGGUGAUUCAGAGGGACCAACAGCAGGUUGACAUGGCUCAAGGGAUGAACUCAGAAGCUCCAGGCAGCCCUACCAGGAUCCAGUUAAUCCACUCUAGUGACACAGACAGGAAAUAGCCCAGGAACAUCAAGAGUCAAAACCCUGCUCCUCUUCCUAACUCCUUCCAACUCCUGCUGAGUGGCUCUGCAUGACCCAAUAAUUCUAUCAUUGGCCAGAACUGGAAAACCAUUAAGAUCAA